rnacentral:lncRNA from 13 species
GUGUAGUAUCUUAAAGCAGAAGCCAGAUUUCAUCGGCUUGGGGGAAAAGGAUCACAUCUUUUAUUCUCCCCAGCUGAAUUGCCUGAGAUGGUCAUUUUGUCUUCCCUCUUUCUCUUUCCCCAGCCUCAAUGUUCUUAGCAAAUAAUGAAGAAGGACUUCUGAAAUGUUGCUGGCUCAGAGAACACCGGUGAGGGAAAAGAAAAGCAGCAUCAUACUGUAAACAAAGGAAAAUCCACUCUGAGCUCGCCUUACCCUGCAUAGCUGCAGAAGGCAGUGCUAAAAACUCAAAGUAAACAAGAACACUAACUCUGAUCCAUGGUUUGUCUGACGCAUACUAUAUUCCACUCCUCUAAGCCGUUGAGACAGAGUCUUGCUCUGUCAUGCAGGCUGAAGUGUGGUGGCACGAUCUUGGCUCACUUUAACAUCCAUCCUCUGGGUUCAAGCAGUUCUCCUGCCUCAUCCUCCUGAGUAGCUGGGAUUACAGGUGUGUGCAUGCCUGGCUAAUUUUUGUAAUUUUAGUAGAGACAAGGUUUUACCAUGUUGCUCAGGUUUAUCUUAACCUCUUGGCCUCAAGCAGUCUACCUGCCUCAUCUUCCCAAAGUGUGGGGUUACAGGCAUGAGCCACGUGCCCAGUCACCUCCAUGACCUUUUGUGAAGCCAAUUGACAAAUGACAAGCAUCUAAUUCGUGUACUUCGUCCCACAUGAAGUCCACAUACAUUUUUUUGUCACCACUGACUUUUUGCUUGAGAUAGCUAGGAGAGUAAUUAAUGUGUUUUUUUCUGUAACAGAAUUCCAGUUCUGCAGAAAUGCCUGCUAUACCCUUAAAGAUUUAUAUGAUAAAUAGCUCUGGCUAUCAACUCAUGGUCUUGGUUGUAUGGUGGUGAUUGGGAAACAAAGAUUCAUCAAUGACUAGAUUUCAAGGAUGAGGUAGGGUGGCUUAAAUCAGGACAUUAACAAGGUGAGAUAAUGUAGACUGGAACCAGUAUCUGUUUGUACAUAUAGUAAUCCUACUGAAGUAACUAACAUUUUUGUGAAGAACAAUAACUCUCGCCUAGUUUAAGUAACAUAUGAUAGAUGAUUGAAGAAGGAGGAGGAGGAGGAGGAGGGAGAAAUAAGAAAAAAUUAAAACAUGUAUUUUUGAAGAUAGAGAGUUUGCCAAAUUCUGAAAUUUAGAGUAAAAGCCAUAACAACUGAAUGUCUAACAGAUAACAUUCCUAAAACAUCAACCCAUCCAGGUGAGAUGUCCUCAAAUAAUCUGAGAUCUCAGGGUUUAUUGGCUCAGGGGAUCAGCUUCCAAUUUAGUCCUUCAGGAAUGCCUGAUAAUUCAAUGAAAGGCAUUACUUCUGUAUUUUAAUACAGUAAAAUAACUCAAAACAAGUUAAAUAUGUUAGUAUAGUCAUUGUUAUAUGAUAUUAGUCAUAUACUAAUAUAUUAGUAUAGUCAUAAGCAUGUAGUACUGGGACAUAA